CUACGGGUCGCUGCAGUGAGGAAUAUUGCACAAUGGGGGGAACCCUGAUGCAGCAACGCCGCGUGGAGGAUGACGCAUUUCGGUGUGUAAACUCCUUUUAUAUGUCAAGAAAAUGACGGUAGCAUAUGAAUAAGCACCGGCUAACUCCGUGCCAGCAGCCGCGGUAAUGCGGAGGGUGCAAGCGUUACUCGGAAUCACUGGGCGUAAGGGACGCGUAGGCGGGUUGGAAAGUCAGGUGUGAAAUCCUACAGCUUAACUGCAGAACUGCACUUGAAACUUCUAAUCUAGAGUAUGGGAGGGGGAGAUGGAAUUAGUGGUGUAGGGGUAAAAUCCGUAGAUAUCACUAGGAAUACCUAAAGCGAAGGCGAUCUCCUGGAACAUUACUGACGCUAAGGCGUGAAAGCGUGGGGAGCAAACAGGAUUAGAUACCCGGGUAGUC
rnacentral:rRNA from 1 species